rnacentral:rRNA from 1 species
UACGAAGGGUGCAAACGUUGCUCGGAAUCAUUGGGCGUAAAGCGCACGUAGGCGGCUUGCCAAGUCGGACGUGAAAUCCCUCAGCUCAACUGAGGACGUGCAUCCGAAACUGGCGAGCUUGAGUGCUGAAGAGGAUCGCGGAAUUCCCGGUGUAGAGGUGAAAUUCGUAGAUAUCGGGAGGAACACCAGCGGCGAAGGCGGCCACCUGGACGGAUACUGACGCUGAGACGCGAAAGCGUGGGGAGCAAACAGG